rnacentral:rRNA from 1 species
GAUGAACGCUGGCGGCGUGCCUAAUACAUGCAAGUCGAGCGAACGGACGAGAAGCUUGCUUCUCUGAUGUUAGCGGCGGACGGGUGAGUAACACGUGGAUAACCUACCUAUAAGACUGGGAUAACUUCGGGAAACCGGAUCUAAUACCGGAUAAUAUUUUGAACCGCAUGGUUCAAAAGUGAAAGACGGUCUUGCUGUCACUUAUAGAUGGAUCCGCGCUGCAUUAGCUAGUUGGUAAGGUAACGGCUUACCAAGGCAACGAUGCAUAGCCGACCUGAGAGGGUGAUCGGCCACACUGGAACUGAGACACGGUCCAGACUCCCACGGGAGGCAGCAGUAGGGAAUCUUCCGCAAUGGGCGAAAGCCUGACGGAGCAACGCCGCGUGAGUGAUGAAGGUCUUCGGAUCGUAAAACUCUGUUAUUAGGGAAGAACAUAUGUGUAAGUAACUGUGCACAUCUUGACGGUACCUAAUCAGAAAGCCACGGCUAACUACGUG